UGAACUGAUGAUUUCCUGACAAUGGAGAUG
rnacentral:piRNA from 1 species